rnacentral:lncRNA from 1 species
UAGAUAAUUUUGCUCUAUGUGCUUCACUUAGAUCUUUUAGAGCACGGCGGUGCGUGACUUCGUAGUUGGUUUGUGCUAUGAAAGUAGUCCCAAAGGUGAUAGGUACCCAAAGAGGAUACAAAACUUCCAUCUUCAUGUGCAUUGAGUAGAAAGAGAAGUCUGAUUCCUCUCAAGUAGUUUUGAGACGUGGAUUUUGCAAAAGUUGACUUGAGACGUGGAAGCCGGAGCAUAAUUAAUCUAUUGAUUGUCAUCCUUUGUGUUGCGGUCGGGAUCGCGCGAUGGUUAACACCUACCAACCCUUCCCCUAGGAGUAUGCAUUUAGCACUUUGUUUCGAUUAUUAAUAAAAACUUUCGCAACAAGUAUGUGAGUUAUUCAUCACUUAUGUGAGUCCAUGGUAUAGAUGCACUUUUACCUUCCACCAUUGCUAGCCUCUCUAGUACCGCGCAAUUUUCGUCGGUGCACAAACUCACCAUAUGCC